UUCCGGUUGAUCCCGCCGGACCUGACUGCUAUCGGAUUGAUACUAAGCCAUGCGAGUCUUUGUAGUAAUACAAGGCAUACGGCUCAGUAACGCGUAGUCAACCUACCCUAUGGACAAGAAUAAUCUCGGGAAACUGAGCAUAAUACUCGAUAGAUCAUAAUGCCUGGAAUGGUUUAUGGUUGAAAUGAUUCGUCGCCAUAGGAUGGGACUGCGGCCUAUCAGCUUGUUGGUGAGGUAAUGGCCCACCAAGGCGAUUACAGGUACGGGCUCUGAGAGGAGAGGCCCGGAGAUGGGUACUGAGACAAGGACCCAGGCCCUAUGGGGCGCAGCAGGCGAGAAAACUUUGCAAUGUGCGAAAGCACGACAAGGUUAAUCCGAGUGAUUUCUGCUAAAGGAAUCUUUUGUUAGUUCUAAAAAUACUAGUGAAUAAGGGGUGGGCAAGUUCUGGUGUCAGCCGCCGCGGUAAAACCAGCACCUCAAGUGGUCAGGAGGAUUAUUGGGCCUAAAGCAUCCGUAGCCUGUUCUAUAAGUUUGCGGUUAAAUCUAUACGCUCAACGUAUAGGCUGCCGUAAAUACUGUAGAACUAGGGAGUGGGAGAGGUAGACGGUACUCGAUAGGAAGGGGUAAAAUCCUUUGAUCUAUUGAUGACCACCUGUGGCGAAGGCGGUCUACCAGAACACGUUCGACGGUGAGGGAUGAAAGCUGGGGGAGCAAACCGGAUUAGAUACCCGGGUAGUCCCAGCUGUAAACGAUGCAGACUCGAUGAUGCAAUGGCAUAGAGCUAUUGCAGUAUCGCAGGGAAGCCGUUAAGUUUGCCGCCUGGGAAGUACGUACGCAAGUAUGAAACUUAAAGGAAUUGGCGGGGGAGCACCACAAGGGGUGAAGCCUGCGGUUCAAUUGGAUUCAACGCCGGG
rnacentral:rRNA from 1 species